AGAACCUUACCAACCCUUGACAUGGGUAUCGCGAUUUCCAGAGAUGGAUUUCUUCAGUUCGGCUGGAUACCACACAGGUGCUGCAUGGCUGUCGUCAGCUCGUGUCGUGAGAUGUUCGGUUAAGUCCGGCAACGAGCGCAACCCACGUCCUUAGUUACCAGCAUUUAGUUGGGUACCCUAGGGAGACUGCCGGUGAUAAGCCGGAGGAAGGUGUGGAUGACGUCAAGUCCUCAUGGCCCUUACAGGUUGGGCUACACACGUGCCACAAUGGUAAUGACAAUGGGUUAAUCCCAAAAAGUUAUCUCAGUUCGGAUUGGGGUCUGCAACUCGACCCCAUGAAGUCGGAAUCGCUAGUAAUCGCGUAACAGCAUGACGCGGUGAAUACGUUCCCGGGCCUUGUACACACCGCCCGUCACACCAUGGGAGUUGGGUUUACCCGAAGGCCGUGCGCCAACCUUUCGAGGGGGCAGCGGACCACGGUGAGCUCAGCGACUGGGGUGAAGUCGUAACAAGGUAACCGUA
rnacentral:rRNA from 1 species